rnacentral:rRNA from 1 species
CCUACGGGAGGCAGCAGUAGGGAAUAUUGCUCAAUGGGGGAAACCCUGAAGCAGCAACGCCGCGUGGAGGAUGAAGGUUUUCGGAUUGUAAACUCCUUUUGUUAGAGAAGAUAAUGACGGUAUCCAACGAAUAAGCACCGGCUAACGCCGUGCCAGCAGCCGCGGUAAUACGGAGGGUGCAAGCGUUACUCGGAAUCACUGGGGGUAAAGAGGGCGUAGGCGGGAUAGCAAGUCAGAUGUGAAAUCCUAUGGCUUAACCAUAGAACUGCAUUUGAAACUGUUAUUCUAGAGUAUGGGAGAGGUAGGUGGAAUUCUUGGUGUAGGGGUGAAAUCCGUAGAGAUCAAGAGGAAUACUCAUUGCGAAGGCGACCUGCUAGAACAUAACUGACGCUGAUGCGCGAAAGCGUGGGGAGCAAACAGGAUUAGAUACCCGUGUAGUC